AUUAGUUUGAUAAUCAAUAAAUUAUUUAUUUUUUAUUUAUAUUUAAUUUAAUAAAAAUAAUUUUAUUAAUUAAUAUUUUUAGUAUAAUUUUUUGAAAAAAAUUAUUUAAUUAUAGUUUAUUAGUAUUGUAUAAGAAUUUUUAUAAAUUAUUUUAUUAUAAAUAAGUAGUAUUUGUUUUAUGUACCUUGUGUAUCAGGGUUUAUUAAAUAAAAAUUAUAAAAAUUAAUUUUCCCGAAUUUAAGAGAGUGAAUAAAUUAUUUUUUUUAUUGUAGUAUUAAUAUUUAUAAUAAUUUAUUGGUAAUGAAAUGUUAUUCGUUCUUAAAUAUAUCUGGUUUAUUUAGAAAUAAAUUUAAUUUAGCUUUUUUUAUUUAAAUUGAUUAUUUUUUUAAUUAAUUUAAUUUUAUUAGUGAUAAUUAAAGGGAUUAGCUUUUAAUUAAAUAUUUAAAAAUUAUAUAAAAAAUUAUAUAAAUGUAGGGUUAGAAAUAUCCAUUAUUUAUAAUUUGUUAUAAUUAAUUUAUAUAUUGAAUAAAAUUUUAUAUUAUUUUAAAUAUUUUAUAAAUAAAUAAUUUUUAAUUUUUAAAAAUUAGUUAUAAUGAUAAAAUUAGUAUAUUUAUAUUUAUUUUAAUAAUAGUAAAGAAAAGAUUAUUUAAAGGAAUUCGGCAAAAAUUUUAUUCGCCUGUUUAACAAAAACAUGUCCUUUUGAGAUUUAUUUAAGGUUUGACCUGCCCACUGAUUUAUUGAAUGGCCGCAGUAAUUUGACUGUGCAAAGGUAGCAUAAUCAUUAGUUUUUUAAUUGAAAGCUUGUAUGAAGGGUUGGACGAGAUAAAAUCUGUCUCUAUUUAAUUUAAAUUAGAAUUUAAUUUUUAAGUUAAAAAGCUUAAAUUUUUAUAAAAGACGAGAAGACCCUAUAGAUCUUUAUAUCAAUAAAAAUUAAUUUUAAUUAAGUUUAUUUAAUUUAUUAUUUUUCUUGAUAUUUUAUUGGGGUAAUAAAAAGAUUUAAUUAAUUCUUUUUAAAAUUUAACAUUAAUUAAUGAUUAAUUGAUCCAAUAAUUUUGAUUAUAAGAUUAAGUUACCUUAGGGAUAACAGCGUAAUUUUUUUAGAGAGUUCAUAUUAAUAAAAAAGUUUGCGACCUCGAUGUUGGAUUAAAAAUUGUCUUAGGUGCAGAAGUUUAAGAAUUUGGUCUGUUCGACCAUUAAAUUUUUACAUGAUCUGAGUUCAGACCGGCGUAAGCCAGGUCGGUUUCUAUCUUUAUUUUAUUUAGAUUUUUUAGUACGAAAGGAUUAAAAAUCUAAUAUAUUUAUAUUUAAUUUUUUGAAUAUUAAUAGUUAUUUUGGCAGAAUAGUGUAAUGAAUUUAG
rnacentral:rRNA from 1 species